CGCUGCUCUGCACGCCGCUCCCGCCUGCACGCCUGGCCUCGCCCCACGCCCGCCCGGCUCCGCCGCCUGCUCCCUUCCCUCUCUCCUGGUUCCCUCCCUCUUUCUCCUCCCUCCUCCCUCCCUCCCUUCCCUUCCUUUCUCACCGCCUCUGUCAGUCUCUGGCUCUCCCUGACUUUCAGCCCAGCCUCUAUCUCCACUUACGUCUCUCCUAAGGAACUGCAGUCCCAUCUCGAGACCCCCAGUAGGAGACCCCAGGCUGCCCUCUACUUAUCCCCCACCCCGUAGGGCAGCUUCGAGACACCCGUGCCCCUCCGGGACCCUAGCCCGUCCCUACCUCCAUCCUGGUCUCGAGGGGCUCCCCAACUAAGCCGGGCAGCGUCCUGGCCGGGACUGGGCAGCAGGGAGUACAGAGUCGCGGGACCGCUCCUCGGGUCAGUACCCCUCCCGCCCCUUUCUGCGGGUGCGUCAAACAGGACAAGCCCAAGUUCUGACGGGGGAAGGGGGAGCGGGGGUGUAGUCCCAGUCGGCUCUCUCUCUGGACCCUUCUGAGCGGACAGACCGCUCAUUGGUCCCUUCACAUCCCCAACGCCCCCAUGCUGGACCCUUUUCCAGACCAAAGACAGCACCUGGGGCGGGGAGCGACGGACCCCCUUCAUGGAGACAGACACACGCUGACCCAGGUCCCCAACUUCCCCUCAGCAUUAACUAGAACUCUCUCCCCUUUCCAGUGGAGGGCGUCCCACCCUUCUUCCCGGCCCUUCUUUUAACCCACUUCCCCUGGGAGUUCUCCGAACCCCUCCCCUCAAUGCUCCCAUCCCUGGGAUCUCGGGAGAUUGUUCCUCUCUGCUCAGCUGACCCCUCCACUUGCCCCCAUUUCUGAGGGAGCUAAGUUGGGGGAGAGUAAAUUCUCUCUCCACUCCCGGCUCCUCCCGGGGCUGGAGCUAACCUGGAAAGUGCUUUGGGAAGGCACCUCCUCCCUCACUCCCUCUGCAGUCUAGUCUAGUAGAUCAGGGAGCCCCUCCCACUCACCCAUCCCCAAGUUGCUCAGCUUCGACCAUUCAGAGGAGAGAAAGAGGUUAUGUGUGUGUGUUAAAAAUGUGUGUGGAGGUUUUUAUGGUUUGGUUUUGUUUUGUUUUGACUCUAGUGGAGGGAACAAACGCUUUGCCUUUCAUUUGGCAAGAAGACCUGGAGGGAGAGAGGGCCCUCCCCACCUACACUCCCCUGCUGACCACAGCUAAUGGACUAGCUCCUCUGGGCCCUGCGGCAGCUUAAGUUUCCACAGGAGAAGGGAGGUGCGGGGAGAGGGGAUGUUGGUCCAGGCAAGCAGUUGUCCCUGGCUUCCCGCUCCUUCUCUCCUUCCCUCCCUCCACAUUCUCUGCCUGAACCUAUAGCCUAGAAAGCAUCUCUCCACCUUCCACUUUAUUUUUAUUUAUUUAUUUAUUUUUGAGACAGAGUCUCACUCUGUCGCGUGGGCCAGAGUGCAGUGGCGAUCCUUGGCCCACAGCAACCUCCACCUCCCGGGUUCAAGCGAUUCUCCCCCCACGACAUAGGAGGCUGAGGCAGAGAAUUGCUUGAACUCAGGAGGCAGGCCUAGACCGUAUCACUGCACUCCAGACUCUGGGGGACAGAGUCUCUGUCUCAAAAAAAAAAAAAAAGAAAUUACUCCUCCAUGAGCCUGUCACAGGAAUUCUGAGGUGCACAGGGGUAGUUCCACACCCCUUACUUUUCUUAUUUCCACCCCAGCUGCUGGACCUCAGGCCCCUUCUCCAUCUUGCUCGGCAGGGAAGGUAGGAACUUCAGAGCUGGAGCCAGCAGCCCAGCCUCCAGGUCCCCAGAACUGCCCUCUCCCAGGCCCUUCUCUGUGACGUGACUGGCAGGAUUAUCCUUCUCCAGGGCCUGCCCAAGACACAUAUCCUCUUCCUCCCCACUCAAACUCCCUCAGGGCCCUCAUCUCUGGCUCAGACCUCAUAGUGUCUGGGCAGGGCACCCUGCUGAGAGGGGCCUCUACCCUGGAUCCAUUCCAGGGAGCUAUGCCCUCUAGCUUGGCCCACAUAGGCCCUGAGCUCUAGCAAACAGGCCCCCAGGGCUUCCCAGGCAGCCUUCAUCCCUUCUCCCUGCUGACCUUGUCCUCAGACCCCCAGAUUGUCAGGACUUGGGAUAUCUGGCAG